AGCGAACGCUGGCGGCAGGCCUAACACAUGCAAGUCGAGCGCCCCGCAAGGGGAGCGGCAGACGGGAGAGUAACACGUGGGAACGUACCCUUUGGUUCAGAACAACCCAGGGAAACUUGGGCUAAUACUGGAUAAGCCCUUACGGGGAAAGAUUCAUCGCCGAAGGAUCGGCCCGCGUCUGAUUAGCUAGUUGGUGGGGUAACGGCCCACCAAGGCGACGAUCAGUAGCUGGUCUGAGAGGAUGAUCAGCCUCACUGGGACUGAGACACGGCCCAGACUCCUACGGGAGGCAGCAGUGGGGAAUAUUGGACAAUGGGCGCAAGCCUGAUCCAGCCAUGCCGCGUGGGUGAUGAAGGCCCUAGGGUUGUAAAGCCCUCUCGGCGGGGAAGAUAAUGACGGUACCCGCAGAAGAAGCCCCGGCUAACUUCGUGCCAGCCGCCGCGGUAAAAC
rnacentral:rRNA from 1 species